rnacentral:rRNA from 1 species
UACGGAGGGUGCGAGCGUUGUUCGGAAUUACUGGGCGUAAAGCGCACGUAGGCGGCUUUGUAAGUUAGAGGUGAAAGCCCAGGGCUUAACCCUGGAAUUGCCUUUAAGACUGCAUCGCUAGAAUCGUGGAGAGGUGAGUGGAAUUCCGAGUGUAGAGGUGAAAUUCGUAGAUAUUCGGAAGAACACCAGUGGCGAAGGCGACUCACUGGACACGUAUUGACGCUGAGGAGCGAAAGCGUGGGGAGCAAACAGG